rnacentral:rRNA from 1 species
AUUGAACGCUGGCUGCAAGCCUAACACAUGCAAGUCGAACGAGUGGCGGACGGGUGAGUAAUGUCUGGGAAACUGCCUGAUGGAGGGGGAUAACUACUGGAAACGGUAGCUAAUACCGCAUACCAUCGGAUGAGCCCCGAUGGGAUUAGCUAGUAGGUGGGGUAAAGGCGCACCUAGGCGAAGAUCCCUAGCUGGUCUGAGAGGAUGACCAGCCACACUGGAACUGAGACACGGUCCAGACUCCUACGGGAGGCAGCAGUGGGGAAUAUUGCACAAUGGGCGCAAGCCUGAUGCAGCCAUGCCGCGUGUAUGAAGAAGUCCUUCGGGUUGUAAAGUGCUUUCAGCGGGGAGGCGUUACCCGCAGAAGAAGCACCGGCUAACUCCGUGCCAGCAGCCGCGGUAAUUC